UACGUAGGGGGCAAGCGUUGUCCGGAUUUAUUGGGCGUAAAGAGCGUGUAGGCGGCCUGAAAGGUCAGCUGUGAAAACUCGAGGCUCAACCUCGAGACGUCGGUUGAAACCAUCUGGCUAGAGUCCGGAAGAGGAGUGUGGAAUUCCCGGUGUAGAGGUGAAAUGCGCAGAUAUCGGGAAGAACACCCGUGGCGAAGGCGGCUCUCUGGGACGGUACUGACGCUGAGACGCGAAAGCGUGGGGAGCGAACAGG
rnacentral:rRNA from 1 species